rnacentral:rRNA from 1 species
UACAGAGGUCCCAAGCGUUGUUCGGAUUCACUGGGCGUAAAGGGUGCGUAGGCGGUUUGGUAAGUUUGGCGUGAAAGCCCCGGGCCUAACCCGGGAAUGGCGCUGAAAACUGUCGAACUGGAGGAUUGGAGGGGGGACUGGAAUUCUUGGUGUAGCAGUGAAAUGCGUAGAUAUCAAGAGGAACAUCAGUGGCGAAGGCGGGUCCCUGGACAAAUCCUGACGCUGAGGCACGAAAGCUAGGGGAGCAAACAGG